UAAAUAAUGAGAAAGAUUAAAUAAUUUGACUUCAGUGUGAUUUGAUUAGUUGAACAAGAUGAAGCAUUUUGUUGUAUUUCUGUUUAUCGUGCUUUUUGCAGCGGCGCACGCAAUGCCAGCAACAAACAGAGGGAAUAUAUAUGCAUCGGGAGACAGUGUAGCUUCAGGUGUUGUUGACGGUUCAACAUUUGGCAGUGGUGCAUUUUCUACUGGAGGAAGCUCGUCAAAUUGCGGUUUACUCCAGAAGGCAAUUUCAAUAUUGUGGAAUGUUUGUCCGCAAUAAGAAAAACAUAAAAACAACAAAAAGGCGAUAUAGCUAAUCUUGACUUACAUACAUAUCAAUAAUAGUGCAAUCAAAAUUACAAAACACUGAUAUGUAACAAUAACAU